rnacentral:tRNA from 1 species
GCCUGGGUGGCUCAGUCGGUUGAGCGUCCGACUUCGGCUCAGGUCAUGAUCUCACGGUCUGUGGGUUCGAGCCCCACGUCGGGCU